rnacentral:tRNA from 2 species
GCCUCCUUAGCUCAGUGGCAGAGCACUGGUCUUGUAAACCAGGGGUCGGGAGUUCGAUCCUCCCAGGGGGCU